UUGCUGUCAUGGCUAAGUCAGACACUGAUUAAAUCAUUGUCUGCCAUUGACGGUGCUAGACGUCCAAUCCAUUUGGACUGUGUAGGCUGGCAGCCAUCGUUGGCUGUGAAUAGCAGACAAUGAUUUCAUCGUUUCAUAUCUCCUUUAUUCAAUUUUGAAUGUGUUUUUUGUAUUUAUCAAACAAGCUGCUUGUUUUCAAUUUCAGUUUCAGUUUAUUCGCACAUCAUCAAAUACAGUACAUGAUCUCAUGCUAGCAGUUCACAUGUUAAGAUGGGCGAAUAGGACACUCCAAAGAAGCUAUUCAAAGCUUUUAGCAGGAGCCCAGUUUUCAUCUUCCCAUGUUAGCACUUAGCAUUUAUGCUAACAGCAUGGCAUCCACACGAACUGUCAAAUAUUCCACCGCCUUUAAAAAAUAUCGCCUCAUCUCCCUUUCAAGCAUGGGGGCCGUGGUGGGCUUUAAUUAGACGCACCCCUGUUCCAUGUGUCCCACUGUGUGUGUGUUACAUUGUCUACAUCUGCUUGUGUAUUUUUCUACCGUGCGGCCCCCUGUGGCUUUUGGCGCCAACGUCAGCGUUGGCAUCAGAUAAUGUGAAUCAAGAAAAGCGCUUUUCUUUUGUAGUCCAGCUCGGUUUCAUUUAAAAACACAUUUGGGUGCAGGCGGGGGGCGAUGUUGGAAAAUGGCGGCCGCCUGGCGAGUUUGCCCGGUGGGUGACGUACGCGCGCGCCACCUGACGCCCACCGCUGAUUUAUUUUUAAGCUUCUUUCAUGUGAAAAUUGGUGGAUGUAGGGGGGUUGUUUGACAUUGAACGCAGAAAAACAGGAUGUAGCGUAGGCCAGAAAAAUUGGCUGAACUUGCCGUUAGUAAACUUAGUAAACUAGAAUUCAGUUAAGUUGUUUGAACUUCAACUAGUUUGAGUAAUCUGGACUUUUGUGACAGCGGAGUACGCAGACAAUUGAGCUUAAUAUCCAAGCUAACUGUCACGCAGGUUAAUUCAGUUCAAUUAAUGAAUAUCGCAAUAUUAACUAGCUAAUAACAAUGUAAUAAUCAUAUUAUAACAAUGUAAUAAGGAUUUUUAGCUCUUUUAGUGCCAUUGCAGGUGAUAGGCGUCCAAACGUGUUUAUCACUAGGAGGUGUCUAAUUCAUUCAGGUUGGUGGGAGGAUUUUGUUUUUGUUAUUUACUACUGUUUAUUAUGAUACUAAAAUGUUACACUCGCUAUCACUACUCAGAAAAAUACAUGAUACGUCAAAAAUAAAACCCCAAAAAGUCAAUGCUAUUUAUUUAGACCUCUAAUAAUGUGAAAAAACUAAGUUUAAAAGGCUGGGGGCGGUGUUAGAAGAGAGCGACCGCCUGGCGAGUUUGCCUGGUGGGUGAUGCACAAACGCGCCACCUGACACCCACCGCUGAUUUACAGUAUUUUAAAGCUUCUUUCAUGUGAACAUUUGUGGAUUUAGGGGGGUUGUUUGAUACUGAAUGGUAGAAAAUUUGGCUGAACUUGCCAUUAGUAAACUUUAUAAACUAGAAUUCAGUUAAGUAGUUUUAACUUGAACUAGUUUGAUAAUCCGGAUUUAUGUGACAGCGGAGUACGUAGACAAUUGAGCUUAAUCUCCAAGCUAACUGUCAAGCAAGCUAAUUCAGUUCAAUUAAUAAAGUUCACAAUAUUAACUAGCUAAUAACAAUGUAAUAAUAUUAUAACAAUGUAAUAAGGAUUUGUAACUCUUUUAUUGCUAUUGACGGUGAUACACGUCCAAGCGUGUUUAUCACUAGGAGGUGUCUGAUCCAUUCAGGCUUGAAGGAGGAUUUAGUUUUUUGUUAUUAAACUCGCUAUCGUUACUCAAAAAAAAAAAAAAAAAAAAAAAAAACACGAUACGACAAAAAUAAAAAAUCCAAAAUGGAAAAUUUUAGACCUCCAAUCAUCUGUAAAAACUAAAUUAAAACUCUUUAAAUAAGUUUAUCACAAGUCCAUGUCCAAUCCAUUCAUCCAUUCUCUGCCAACCCUCCCAAAUUCAAAUGGAUUAAACGUCUAUCGUCGUCAUUGGCAGACAAUGAGUUAAAAAUUUUAAUUUGUUCUUCCUCUGGAAUAGAUGCACCCUCCCACCAAUUAGUUUAUCACUACUUGACGUCCAAUCCAUUUAAAGUAGGAGACUGGCAGCGGAGUAUGCAGACAAUUGAGCUAAACUUCCAAGCUAGCUGUCACGCAAGUUAAUUGAAUUCAAUUAAUUAAUUUCACAAUAUUAACUAAUUAAUAACAAUGUAAUAAUCAUAUUAUAACAAUGUAAUAAGGAUUUUUAACUCUUUUAGUGCUAUUGAUGGUGAUAGACGUCCAAGCGUGUUUAUCACAAAUCGAUGUCCAAGCCAUUCGUUCAUUCUCUGCCAACCCUUUCACUUUAAAUGUAUUGGACGUCUAACACCAUCAAAGACAGACAAUGAGUAAUUCAGUGUCUGACCAAGCCAUGAUAGCAAUGACUUUUUAUUCAAGUGAGCAUGCGGUAACUUAAAAUUGUAUAUUUAUUCAAAAAACGUAUCGGUACAGUUCGGCCUUGGCCGAUACCACAGUUGAAAUCAGUAUAGGGAACCAAAAAAUGGUAUCGGUUCAACACAAAUCGUCAUGAACCAAAUUUGUAUCUCAUAGUUAACUGGGAUCUUCUGGGCUUUCUGAUUGGCCGAGGUCGCCGAUGACACCACCAACUCGGUAUUUGGGAUUUUCUCAGGUUCCCGUAAUGCGAUUGAGACUUACGUAAAAUGUUUUUCUGUGUUUGCCUGGUGUUUGUACUGAAGAAGCUUGUGUCCUCUGGCAGGACGGCGACUGCUCAGUUGGGGCUAGUCGCCGCAGGAGGAUGGGUGGAGCCUUCGGGGUUGAUUGUUAUCUUUGGUUAUCUAGCUGUAUGAGUGAUGUACGUUCUUCAUAAAGCUAGAUAACCGAAAGUAACAAGAAUCCCAUUACACUCCUGGAAAGGCACUAACACCCCCAAAAGGACAACGGCACACAAAAACAAAAAAGAUGGAUGUCGGAACGAGAAGACAAAGCGGCAAAAGGCCGAGCUGCAAAUGACGAAGAAAGAAGAGGAAGGAGGAGGGAGACCCUUCUCGUCUUCCUCGCGGCCACCAUCUUGACGACCCGCCAGGUGGGCGGAUGACGCGGACUCCGUUCGGCCAAUCAGAGCAAAAACGGAAGCGCCUCGUGAUCAUUUUGAACGAUCGUCGUCGUCGUGACCGGUGAAUGUGACCCACGGCAGCAGUGAAUCCUACCGCACUGUGAUUGGACAGCUCGUGUGUCAGCUGACGCAGCGGCCAAUGAGAGCUGUCGCCUUUAAACUCUAUGCAAACGCCCCUUUUUUUUCUUCAACAAACAUGCUUUCAUUUCCUGUUUCUGACACACACACGGAAAUAUGAAGUUACUCAUUGCCAUUGACGAUGAUAGAUGUCCAAUUCGUUUUGAAUGGGAGGGGUUGGCAGCGAUCUUGUUAUGAUUGAUGAUCUAUGCAAUUGUUUUGUAACUUGAAAUGAUCUUUCGGGGACCGUUGUAAUCAAGUUGAAUGCACAGAUUUGUACGUUUUUUGUUGUAUUUUGUUGUUGUUGUUUGUUUUGUUUUUUGCUAAAAGUUGUUUGUGUGAUGCAACAACGGCUGUGCAUGUUCACCAAUGUGCCUUGUAUGGAAACUGUGUUGCAAUAUUAUUAAAUGUUUACACU